rnacentral:rRNA from 1 species
AAAAUGACUCUCGGCAACGGAUAUCUCGGCUCUCGCAUCGAUGAAGAACGUAGCGAAAUGCGAUACUUGGUGUGAAUUGCAGAAUCCCGUGAACCAUCGAGUCUUUGAACGCAAGUUGCGCCCCAAGCCAUUAGGCUGAGGGCACGUCUGCCUGGGUGUCACGC